GCCAUAUUGGUCAGGUCGGAUAUCCGGGCACUUUACUGAAGAGCGUUGCCUAGCAAUAAGCCGAGGUGAAAACAUACGCCAUUUUGUAUUUAGCGACAGUCGUUGUUUUUUGCUGCAUUUUGUAGAAUUGAACGAAUAAUUGAAUAUUUUUCGCCAUGCCAACGAUUUGAAGUGUUGCUGGAUGCAAUAUUCAUUUGGAAGAAAGAAAAAUAUAAUAAAAUACUUUACCAGAUGUGAUUAGAAACAAGGAUCGUCGAUACGGCGAUAGAGAAGUGGAUUUGGCGUGAUGCUCAAAUGGGGAACCGAUUAAGUACUGAUCAAACCAGUUCCAACCAGUUUCAAAUGGACAGUAAACCACUUUUUAAAAAUACUUAAUUGGCACCCUAGCUGUGUAUUAAUUAGUCAGAUUACCACUAGUAUCUUUUUCAAAUACAAUAAACCACCCCUAGGGCAUCAUGUGACAUUCCGGAGGGCUUAAUUGGACCACAUGUUUAUUACUUAUUUGCUAAUUGUGAUUAUCUGAACUGAUUAAGAGAUAAAAGAUAUGUUUUAAUAAAUAACAAAUCCUUUGUCUUUACUGGAGCUUCGUGUUGUGAAAUGAAAUGUAAUACAGGUCUCUGUUGUAGGGUAAAAAUGGCAACAUAUGAAAUAAGAACACAAAAUUUAAUGUAUAUAUAUAUUUUCAUUACUUAUUUUUCUUUUAUUGUCAAUCCUCGUAAAAAAGUACAACAGUAUGAUACUUUUUUCUCCAUACUUGAACUGUAAUCCUAGCCUCGAUAAGAAAUUAAAAUCUAAAUCACAGUUCUUGUGCCAGAUAUGUGCUUGUAAGAUUGAUUAUAUAUCAAUCAUAAAUACAUGAGGGUAAAAUAAAUUAUAAUAAUUGAAACACAUUAGUUCAUGAGCAUUUAAUACAAAGGCCAUUUUAUUUUACAAUGUCUUUUUAACUGUGCUAAUGUUAAAAACAUAAUAAUGAAAUAAAUAAAAAUAAACCAACAAAAUAAGGAAUCACCAGAUGCAGCUUAUGCACAUUUUAUAAUCAAUUUAAUUUGUUUUAUUAUGUGUCAGAAUCCUUUCUACUUAUAUUUGCACUGUAUAUGAGACAAAACUAAUCUUUUUACAGUCGUUGUACAUAAAUUGUAAAUUUGAUUAAAUUUUUGUAAAUUA